rnacentral:rRNA from 1 species
AGGACGAACGCUGGCGGCGUGCUUAACACAUGCAAGUCGAGCGGAAAGGCCCUUCGGGGUACUCGAGCGGCGAACGGGUGAGUAACACGUGAGCAACCUGCCCUUAGCUCCGGGAUAGCUCCGGGAAACCGGAAUUAAUACCGGAUACGACCACGGCCGACAUCUGCUGUGGUGGAAAGGAUUCCGGCUAAGGAUGGGCUCGCGGCCUAUCAGCUAGUUGGUGGAGUAACGGCCCACCAAGGCGACGACGGGUAGCCGGCCUGAGAGGGCGACCGGCCACACUGGGACUGAGACACGGCCCAGACUCCUACGGGAGGCAGCAGUGGGGAAUAUUGCGCAAUGGGCGAAAGCCUGACGCAGCGACGCCGCGUGGGGGAUGAAGGCCUUCGGGUUGUAAACCCCUUUCAGCAGGGACGAAGCGAAAGUGACGGUACCUGCAGAAGAAGCGCCGGCUAACUACGCACCAGCAGCCGC